GACGAACGCUGGCGGCGUGCUUAACACAUGCAAGUCGAGCGGAAAGGCCCUUCGGGGUACUCGAGCGGCGAACGGGUGAGUAACACGUGGGUAACCUGCCCCUUGCUCUGGGAUAACUCCGGGAAACCGGGGCUAAUACCGGAUACGACCACUUUAGGCAUCUUCGGUGGUGGAAAGUUUUUCGGUCGAGGGAUGGACCCGCGGCCUAUCAGCUUGUUGGUGGGGUAAUGGCCUACCAAGGCAGUGACGGGUAGCCGGCCUGAGAGGGCGACCGGCCACACUGGGACUGAGACACGGCCCAGACUCCUACGGGAGGCAGCAGUGGGGAAUAUUGGUCAAUGGACGAAAGUCUGAACCAGCCAUGCCGCGUGGAGGAUGAAGGUCCUCUGGAUUGUAAACUUCUUUUAUAGGGACGAAAAAAGGAAAUUCUUUUCCGUCUGACGGUACCCUAUGAAUAAGCACCGGCUAACUCCGUGCCAGCAGCCGCGGUAAC
rnacentral:rRNA from 1 species